rnacentral:rRNA from 1 species
GACGAACGCUGGCGGCGUGCCUAAUACAUGCAAGUAGAACGCACAGUUUAUACCGUAGCUUGCUACACCAUAGACUGUGAGUUGCGAACGGGUGAGUAACGCGUAGGUAACCUGCCUGGUAGCGGGGGAUAACUAUUGGAAACGAUAGCUAAUACCGCAUAAUAUUAAUUAUUGCAUGAUAAUUAAUUGAAAGGUGCAAUUGCACCACUACCAGAUGGACCUGCGUUGUAUUAGCUAGUAGGUGAGGUAACGGCUCACCUAGGCGACGAUACAUAGCCGACCUGAGAGGGUGAUCGGCCACACUGGGACUGAGACACGGCCCAGACUCCUACGGGAGGCAGCAGUAGGGAAUCUUCGGCAAUGGACGAAAGUCUGACCGAGCAACGCCGCGUGAGUGAAGAAGGUUUUCGGAUCGUAAAGCUCUGUUGUAAGAGAAGAACGGGUGUGAGAGUGAAAAGUUCACACUGUGACGGUAUCUUACCAGAAAGGGACGGCUAACUACGU